rnacentral:misc_RNA from 1 species
GUCAAGUUAAAAGAAAGCCAACUGGAAUUUUCGUUUUCACUCUUGAAAACAUAGAUGACAAAGAAAAAAUUUAUGAGGAGGGUCCUUGGGCAAUGGAUAACAAUCUCAUAAUUUUGGAAAAAUGGCCGCCUGAUAAGCCGAUAAAUGAAGUUGAUUUCUCUACAAUAGAAUUUUGGGUGUAAUUACAUGGCCUGCCUCCGAGCUUCUGGAAUCAAGAGAGAGUCACACGUAUUGCUAAACUUUUUGCUGGGCUUACAGAUUGGGAUAAUGGAGUAAGGGAUAGUGAAGUUUUGAAUACUUUUCUAAGAAUCAAGGUUCGGGUGGAGAUUUCUAAGCCUUUACUAACAGGGUUUUUCAUCACUAAGGAGAAAAGGAAAAAUGAAUGGGUAAAAUUCAAGUAUGAGAAUAUGCCUAUUUUUUGUUUCUAUUGUGGAAUCAUUGGACAUGUCAUUAGGAGCUAUGAAGCUAGCAAGAGAAUAGCCAACCAAUCUUUAAAUGCAAGUUCUUUCAGGUAUGAUAUGCGGUUAGUAGCAAAAAAUUCCAGAUCUUUUUUUACUCCAUCAUAUCAUUCAGAAAACCCCCUUCUGUCUCACCCAGUUCUUAAACUUCUACCAUCGAAUGUCUCCACAGAACCCUCAUUUCCCCCCUUCAACAGUGACAAUCCAAACAACCUUUAGGUGGAGGUGGCGCGUUUCCCUCAAUCGCCCUUUUCGCCCAGAUCCUUUACCCUUUACCAAAAAGCCUUACUGCAUUAAUUGCAAAGAUUUAACUCACCAACCAAAUCUCCUGCAAACUGCUAAAGCUAACCUUGCUCCUUUUUCUUAUCCUUUUUCCAAGGAAAACUCAAGAAAAGGUAAAGAGCCCUUUUGCUUGCUAGAUGUAUCAAACAUUUCUUCUAAUAAGCAUCCUCCUGUAGCUUUUCUAUCUACCUCCACUGAUGUUUCAAUCACCAGCAUUAAUGAACCUUUCUUCUUGCAUGAAAAAACGUCUUCUCAAUCCUCUGAUCCUCUUGUACCCUGUGUUAACAAUCUGAAAAAAAGGAUCCCCCUUUAAAUCGAGCUCUUUUACAGCUCCUGCUUCACAAAGUGGAUAGGUGUAACACCCCUUAUCCGAUCUACAACAUAGUCAAGCAAGGAAUGCUACAUUUUGUGUUGAAGCACUUUAUCUUAUCUCAUUUUAUA